UUUAGGUGCGGAGAUAGAAU
rnacentral:misc_RNA from 1 species